ensembl:lncRNA
CUAAACCAGGUCUAACCCAGGACUAGACCAGGACUAAACCAGGACUAAAGCAGGACUAAACCAGGACUAAACCAGGACUAAACCAGGUCUAAACCAGGACUAAACCAGGUCUAAACCAGGACUAAACCAAGACUAAACCAGGACUAAACCAGGUCUAAACCAGGACUAAACCAGGUCUAAACCAGGUCUAAACCAGGACUAAACCAGGACUAAACCAGGUCUAAAUCAGGACUAAACCAGGACUAAACCAGGACUAAACCAAGACUAAACCAGGACUAAACCAGGACUAAACCAGGACUAAACUAGGUCUAAACCAGGACUAAACCAGGACUAAACCAGGACUAAACCAGGACUAAACCAAGACUAAACCAGGACUAAACCAGGACUAAACCAGGACUAAACCAAGACUAAACCAGGACUAAACCAGGUCUAAACCAGGACUAAACCAGGUCUAAACCAGGUCUAAACCAGGACUAAACCAGGACUAAACCAGGUCUAAAUCAGGACUAAACCAGGACUAAACCAGGACUAAACCAAGACUAAACCAGGACUAAACCAGGUCU